rnacentral:sRNA from 1 species
GUGGCGGCUUGAGUGAAGCCGCGGCUACUGGAGCGUCUCCUGCAUCUGUCCCUGGCCUAAACCCGACGCUAGGCUGGAGGGAGCGACUGCGGGCCGGGCUGGCGGGGACUGGGGCCUCGUUGUGGUUCGUGGCGGGGCUGGGGCUGCUUUACGCUCUGAGGAUCCCUUUGAGGCUGUGUGAGAAUUUGGCAGCGGAUAUUUGAAUGGUGGUACUUCCAUAAGCAUGGCACAUCUUUUAUUGAGCAAGUAUCUGUAAGCCAUUUGCAACCACUGAUGGGAGGAACAGAGAGCAGCAUUUCAGAACCAGGUUCUCCUUCGAGGAACAGAGAAAGUGAAACCAGCAGACAGAAUUUGUCAGAAUGUAAGGUAUGGAGAAACCCUCUAAAUCUUUUCAGAGGAGCAGAAUAUAGGAGAUACACUUGGGUGACUGGUAAAGAGCCACUUACAUACUAUGACAUGAACCUGUCAGCUCAGGACCAUCAGACCUUUUUCACCUGUGACACAGAUUUUUUACGUCCUUCAGACACAGUUAUGCAGAAGGCAUGGAGGGAAAGAAAUCCUCCAGCUCGAAUCAAAGCAGCCUAUCAAGCUUUAGAAUUAAACAAUGACUGUGCCACUGCAUAUGUUCUACUGGCUGAGGAAGAAGCAACAACUAUUGUAGAUGCUGAAAGGUUAUUUAAACAGGCACUCAAGGCAGGAGAAACAAUUUAUAGGCAGUCACAGCAAUGCCAGCACCAAAGUCCUCAGCAUGAAGCUCAACUGAGGAGAGAUACCAAUGUACUGGUAUAUAUUAAAAGAAGAUUGGCAAUGUGUGCAAGAAAAUUAGGAAGAAUAAGAGAAGCAGUAAAAAUAAUGAGAGAUAUAUAAGCCUUCCAAAGUCAGCAGCAAUCUGUUACACAGCAGCACUGUUGAAGACAAGGACUGUUUCAGAAAAAUUCUCUCCAGAAACAGCCUCCAGAAGAGGAUUAAGCACAGCAGAAAUUAAUGCCGUGGAAGCAAUUCAUAGAGCUGUGGAAUUUAAUCCUCAUGUUCCAAAAUAUUUAUUAGAGAUGAAAAGUUUAAUUUUACCUCCAGAACACAUUCUGAAACGGGGUGAUAGUGAAGCAAUUGCCUAUGCUUUCUUUCAUCUUCAGCACUGGAAACGAAUAGAAGGUGCUCUUAAUCUGUUACAGUGUACAUGGGAAGGCACUUUUAGAAUGAUUCCAUACCCAUUAGAGAAAGGACAUCUAUUUUACCCUUAUCCCAGCUGCACAGAGAUGGCUGAUAGAGAGCUAUUACCUACCUUUCAUCAUGUUUCUGUUUACCCAAAAAAGGAGCUUCCUUUGUUCAUCCAUUUCACAGCAGGAUUUUCCUCUUCUACAGCAAUGAUAGCCAUUCUCACUCACCAGUUUCCUGAAAUCAUGGGUAUUUUUGCUAAAGCUGUAAGUAUGAUCUCAAGGACUUGUGUAGAUUAUUUGUAAAACACACAAGAAACCAUCUCUGAUAUGCCUGUGCUAACCCAGCUGAACAGUGGAAGAUAUUUGUUGUAAAUUAAAGGAAUCGAUUUGUAUAUAGUUGCUGCCAUAAAUAUGUCAAACAUAAA